CAGCCGCCGCGGGAAUACGUAGGUGGCAAGCGUUGUCCGGAAUUAUUGGGCGUAAAGGGCUCGCAGGCGGUUUCUUAAGUCUGAUGUGAAAGCCCCCGGCUCAACCGGGGAGGGUCAUUGGAAACUGGGAAACUUGAGUGCAGAAGAGGAGAGUGGGAUUCCACGUGUAGCGGUGAAAUGCGUAGAGAUGUGGAGGAACACCAGUGGCGAAGGCGACUCUCUGGUCUGUAACUGACGCUGAGGAGCGAAAGCGUGGGGAGCGAACAGGAUUAGAUAACCGUGUAGUCCCUGUCUCUUAUAC
rnacentral:rRNA from 1 species